rnacentral:lncRNA from 1 species
GCUCGGUAGAUGGUGUAUGGACUCGUGGUAAUUGAGAGGAAGGUGGUGGAGCAGAAGGUGUAACUUCUGCUGGUGUUGGAUCUAAAGAAGCUGAUGAAAUGUGGACUGAUGGUGACUGAGAGGAAGGUGGUGGAGCCACGAUACCAUGACUCUGAAGAAGCUACUAGUUCCUAGAUAGAGAGGGUGCAACAUUAGCCAGAGAUGGAGCUGAAGGUGUGACUUCUGAUGGUGUCGGAUCCAGAGAAGCGAUAGAAUAUGAGCUGCGAUGAC